UCCUGAUAUUUUGUAAGUCUCACCCCAAUGACCCAAACCCACCGUCCACCUCUCACGCCACACACAAACCUAACCAAAAUCCCCACCUAGACCUAGCCGCCGCCGCCACCAGCCACCACCACCGUCCUCGUCGCCGGUUCGGUCAUGCCCCUGCCCCUCCCACCCCCGGCGGCGCCUCCUGACGCCCCCGUCCAGCUGCACCUUCCCGCCGUCUGCAGUCUGAGGUGUCGCCCACUGGUUCCCUUGCGUCGCCCCUAACAUGUGGUUGAUUUGCUCACGCCGCCGAUCUGCCUCGCGCCACCACCUCCCCAGACUACGACCUGCCUCGCGCCGCCACCUCCCAAGACUACCUGCCUCGCGCCGCGACGGCCUCUGGCCCCGACCCGCGUCCUGCUGCCACGGCCUCCGAGGGGACUUACUGCCCGACCUGAGGAGCCGCCCCAUAGGCUACAGUGGAGAGACUCUCCGCUGUCCCUCUUCCACCACCGGGAACGUCUCCACCCUCUCUGUACUACCCUGUUUCCAGAUUUGGCUGCUGCAGGCAAGAUUUAUUUCAUUUUUCCAUCCAAAAGUGUGAUUGCCCAUUAGAUCUAUCUAGGUUGAGCAAGUUUAUGUCUAAGCUGUCUUAUUUAUUCACAGAUUUUGUCUGCUUGCUUCAAAGCAUAAAUGUGGCUUUUGCUUGCUGAUAAUUUCAGUUAUGGUGUGGUUGCCUGUUACUCAAGAUGAUCUCAUAUCAUAUCAUCAAUUUCAGGAACCUUAUCUCAGCUGUCAUUGAUUUCAGAACAGAUUGUUGGCAUUGUAGCUUCAAGGGCAUUCUAGUGCUUGCAUGAAUCAAGGUCUAUUUGCUGGAGGAGUACGAUUUGCCUGUUUGGAGUUAUUCACAUGACUCAUGGGCUGGGCGUACACCGUAUGGGGCUUUGCUGCACUCGAGGGAUAAAGUUGUCACAUGUAGUAUGGGUAAUUCAGUAACAUACCUAUUACUCGAUAGGAUCCAACCUUGCAGCAAGUCACGGUUGUCAUCAUCGCAGAGUUCAUGUAUUACUCUUGUCAACAUCACCAUGUUUAUUGUACCACUCUUGCUUGUCCUCGUGAAUGGAGACAAAAACCAUACACACAAAUGGCAAUGCUGGAGCUGCACGACUCAUGUGGAGGGCUUAAGGAAAAAAAAAGAGAUUUUAGAAGGAGAUUUGCAGUUAAUGAUCGAACGGAGAACCUAGAAGGCUUAUACGUGACCAAUACAGAACGACCUCUCCAGUAGUUGAAAACCAUGGUCAAAUGGCAGCAAGUAACAAGUCGAAAAUAUUAUGGCUUUUGUAGAUCCUCUAUUUUCUUUAAAUGGAAGUUGAUGUCGGUUUGGUGAUCGAAGACCUGGGCUCUUCCAUAGUGAUUUGUAGAGCGAACGAACACUUAGUCUCUUAUGGACUUGGCCAAUAUUUUGUAACAUGCCACAACAUGUAUGUUGACUUGAGUAUUUCUUCAUUAAUUUUAGCAAGGAAAACUAUUGAAUCUUCUAUAUAUGUUGAAUAAAUGUGUUGGUCAAUGGCAUCUUGCGAUGAA